AUUGAACGCUGGCGGCAGGCCUAACACAUGCAAGUCGAGCGGAUGAAGGGAGCUUGCUCCUGGAUUCAGCGGCGGACGGGUGAGUAAUGCCUAGGAAUCUGCCUGGUAGUGGGGGAUAACGUCCGGAAACGGGCGCUAAUACCGCAUACGUCCUGAGGGAGAAAGUGGGGGAUCUUCGGACCUCAGGCCAUCAGAUGAGCCUAGGUCGGAUUAGCUAGUUGGUGGGGUAAAGGCCUACCAAGGCGACGAUCCGUAACUGGUCUGAGAGGAUGAUCAGUCACACUGGAACUGAGACACGGUCCAGACUCCUACGGGAGGCAGCAGUGGGGAAUAUUGGACAAUGGGCGAAAGCCUGAUCCAGCCAUGCCGCGUGGGUGAAGAAGGUCUUCGGAUUGUAAAGCACUUUAAGUUGGGAGGAAGGGCAGUAAGUUAAUACCUUGCUGUUUUGACGUUACCAAAAGAAUAAGCACCGGCUAACUUCGUG
rnacentral:rRNA from 1 species